rnacentral:rRNA from 1 species
UUAGAAUAAAAGUAGUUAAGUUCUUCAUAACUCAAAGAAUUUGGCGGCUAAUUUUAAUUUUAGAGGAACCUGUGUUUUAAUUGAUAAACCACGAUAGUUUACACUUUUUAAUUAUUUGUAUACCUCUAUUUAUUUAAUAGUUUAAAAGAACUUUUUUUUUAGAAUUUUCAUUAAAGUUAGGUCAAGGUGCAGUUUUUAAAAUAAAUUAUAUGGGUUACUAUUAUUUAAAUUUAUAUAAAAAUUUUUAUUUAAAAUUAUUUUUGUUUAGGAUUUAAAAGUAAUAUUUUUUUAUUUAAAAUUAUGAAUAAU